rnacentral:lncRNA from 1 species
UGACCCCCCAUUUUUCCCUAUUUUCUUUUCUUCUUCCUCUCUCCUCAAUCUCUCAUCACUCUCUCGUCUCUCUAUCUCGCCGGCCGGAAAUCGUCACCACCGGCGGAUGUCGUCCAAAGACCAUAAAAUUUACACCAUUCUUCUCCCCUCACUCUCCUCUUUUUGAUUCCAAACCUCAAAACUUUCAACCCCCCCCCCCCCCCAAAUCCGUAGAUCUAAUUGGCCGAAACCUUAGCCGCCGACGGACCACUUUCAAUCCACCCCAAAUUCACACCAUGACCUCCCCUCACUUCCCCAUUUCCAAAUCCAUGAACCAAAUCCCUUGAAUCCCUCCCAAACUCCACGAAUAAACCAAAAUCCGAAACCCUAGCCCACUUUAUUUUGUAAAUUCGUCGAGUUUUAGACCUCUCAUUCAUAAAAUACUUGCAUAGGCAUGUAGAGCUCCACAUGAUCUAUCAUCCUAUGUUGGUUUCACCCAAAAACUCCGACAGAAGUUCGGCCGGAUUCUGGCAACCACCGCCACUGCUGGCAACCACCACACCCCAAUGCCCCUAUUGUUUUAGCCUAUUCCGACCCAAAUACGUUCGCUUCUCUCUAGCACGAUGUUGGAACUCAUUGGAUUCAAAGUGUGGUAGAAAGAAACGCUCGUUUCAAGGUCGAUUUCCUCGUGUGGUAAAACCUUUAUCCAUUUCCCUCUUUUCUGAUUUUUUGUUCUGUUUAUUAAAACUAGGAUCAUAUUUUAGUU